rnacentral:rRNA from 1 species
AUUGAACGCUGGCGGCAGGCCUAACACAUGCAAGUCGAACGAGUGGCGGACGGGUGCGUAAUGUCUGGGAAACUGCCUGAUGGAGGGGGAUAACUACUGGAAACGGUAGCUAAUACCGCAUACCAUCGGAUGUGCCCAGAUUGGAGUAGCUAGUAGGUGGGGUAAAGGCUCACCUAGGCGACGCUCCCUAGCUGGUCUGAGAGGAUGACCAGCCACACGGGAAAUGAGAUACGGUCCAGACUCCUACGGGAGGCAGUGGUGGGGAAUUUGGUACAAUGGGGGAACCCCUGAUCCAGCCAUCCCGCGUGUGCGAUGAAGGCCUGCGGGUUGUAAAGCACUUUUGGCAGGAAAGCGGUACCUGCAGAAUAAGCACCGGCUAACUACGUGCCAGCAGCCGCGGUAAUAC